GAUGAAGAACGUAGCGAAAUGCGAUAAGUAGUGUGAAUUGCAGAAUUCAGUGAAUCAUCGAAUCUUUGAACGCACAUUGCGCCCCUUGGUAUUCCAUGGGGCAUGCCUGUUCGAGCGUCAUUUGUACCUUCAAGCUCUGCUUGGUGUUGGGUGUUUGUCUCGCCUCUGCGUGUAGACUCGCCUCAAAACAAUUGGCAGCCGGCGUAUUGAUUUCGGAGCGCAGUACAUCUCGCGCUUUGCACUCAUAACGACGACGUCCAAAAGUACAUUUUUACACUCUUGACCUCGGAUCAGGUAGGGAUACCCGCUGAACUUAAGCAUAUCAGUAAGCGGAGGA
rnacentral:misc_RNA from 1 species